CUUCAGUGAUGAUACGAUGACGAGUCGGAGCGGGACACUGUCUCUCUGGGGUCGCUGGCCUGGGGUCACGUUCUGUGAUUCUGGGUUCAGUUCCUCAGAGCAGCAUGUCCUUUCAGUUGAAGACAUCGAGGCAUUUGUCUGAGAAGG